GACGAACUGUCCUAACGUUGUUCGGAAUCACUGGGCUUAAAGGGCGCGUAGGCGGGCGGUCAGGUCGAGGGUGAAAGCCCCCAGCUCAACUGGGGAAGUGCCUCCGAUACUGGCCGUCUCGAGGGGGAUAGGGGCGUGCGGAACUUCCGGUGGAGCGGUGAAAUGCGUAGAUAUCGGAAGGAACAUCGGUGGCGAAAGCGGCGCGCUGGAUCCCUUCUGACGCUGAGGCGCGAAAGCCAGGGGAGCGAACGGG
rnacentral:rRNA from 1 species